UACGAAGGGGGCUAGCGUUGCUCGGAAUCACUGGGCGUAAAGCGCACGUAGGCGGAUUCCUAAGUCGGGGGUGAAAUCCUGGAGCUCAACUCCAGAACUGCCUUUGAUACUGGCGAUCUCGAGUCCGGGAGAGGUGAGUGGAACUGCGAGUGUAGAGGUGAAAUUCGUAGAUAUUCGCAAGAACACCAGUGGCGAAGGCGGCUCACUGGCCCGGUACUGACGCUGAGGUGCGAAAGCGUGGGGAGCAAACAGG
rnacentral:rRNA from 1 species